AUAAGUAGUACUCCCUCCGUUCCAAAAAAAACCUAACUCUAGAUUUAAAUCUGGACAUAGUGUAUAUCCAAAUUCAAACCCAGAAUUUAAUUUCUUUUUUUGACAGAGGGUGUAUAUUACUAUAUAUUAUAUCACUUUCAUCUUCGUGCACUUGCUGGCGCUGCCAACUGUGCCACGUAGACUACCAUUAAGCUCCUUUAAUUAACUCGAUCUACUUCUGACAGAUGUACUCCUAUAUAGUAUGACAGUGCUCUCUCGUCUACCUGCAAUGCAAAUUGGAGUAAACCCCUAGCUAGAAGAGGCUAGAGAAGAGCAAAUCUCUCCCUUCUCCCUUGUGUCCAAUGCAUCUCUUGAAUUUACUGUACUCUGGAGUAGAAGAUACGAACAAUGCUCAGUAGUACAGUAAAUCCAUGGAUGGAACGGUAGAGUCGGUGUUUGCGGGCGUGGCAUCAUCAAGAUUCACAUCCAUGCAUAUAUCACAAGACGCACAUAUACAUCCGAUUUGGCUGAGAAUCUUGAUGAUGCUGCAUCCGCAGACAAGCGCCUUUUUUUCUUUUCAAAGGUAAGCUCCUCUGCUAUUCAAAGACCAUACAUUAGUUGUUCAUCAUCUUCAUCCUUGUUACUCCCUCCGUUUCACAAUGUAAAACAUCCUAGCAUUUUUCACAUUCAUAUUGAUACUAAUGAAUCUAGACAUCUUACAUUGUGAAACGGUGAAACGGAGAGAGUAUUAUAUAUGGC
rnacentral:precursor_RNA from 2 species